rnacentral:rRNA from 1 species
AUUGAACGCUGGCGGCGUGCUUAACACAUGCAAGUCGAGCGGUAACAGGCGUAGCAAUACGUGCUGACGAGCGGCGAACGGGUGCGUAAUACAUGGGAAUCUGCCCUUUGGUGGGGAAUAACCCGGCGAAAGCCGGGCUAAUGCCGCAUAAGAUCUUCGGAUGAAAGCGGGGGAUCGUAAGACCUCGCGCCGAUGGAUGAGCCCAUGUCGGAUUAGCUAGUUGGUGAGGUAACGGCUCACCAAGGCGACGAUCCGUAGCUGGUCUGAGAGGACGGCCAGCCACACUGGGACUGAGACACGGCCCAGACUCCUACGGGAGGCAGCAGUGGGGAAUAUUGGACAAUGGGGGAAACCCUGAUCCAGCGACGCCGCGUGCGUGAAGAAGGCCUGCGGGUUGUAAAGCACUUUCGAUGGGAACGAAAUGUGCCGGGCUAAUACCCCGGCAAGCUGACGUUACUCAAUGAAGAAGCACCGGCUAACUCUGUGCCAGCCGCCGCAGUAAGAC